CCUACGGGAGGCAGCAGUGGGGAAUAUUGCACAAUGGGGGAAACCCUGAUGCAGCGACGCCGCGUGAGUGAAGAAGUAUUUCGGUAUGUAAAGCUCUAUCAGCAGGGAAGAAAAUGACGGUACCUGAUUCAGAAGCACCGGCUAACUACGUGCCAGCAGCCGCGGUAAUACGUAGGGGGCAAGCGUUAUCCGGAUUUACUGGGUGUUAAGGGAGCGUAGACGGCAGGACAAGUCUGGAGUGAAAUGCUGGGGCUUAACCCCGGAACUGCUUUGGAAACUGUGCAGCUAGAGUGCAGGAGAGGUAGGUGGAAUUCGUGGUGUAGCGGUGAAAUGCGUAGAUAUUAGGAAGAACACCAGUGGCGAAGGCGGCUUACUGGACUGUAACUGACGUUGAGGCUCGAAAGCGUGGGGAGCAAACAGGAUUAGAUACCCCAGUAGUC
rnacentral:rRNA from 1 species